rnacentral:rRNA from 1 species
UACGGAGGGUGCAAGCGUUAAUCGGAAUUACUGGGCGUAAAGCGUGCGCAGGCGGUUUGUUAAGUCCGCUGUGAAAUCCCCGAGCUCAACUUGGGAAUUGCAGUGGAUACUGGCAGGCUGGAGUACGGUAGAGGAAGGUGGAAUUCCCGGUGUAGCAGUGAAAUGCGUAGAGAUCGGGAGGAACACCAGUGGCGAAGGCGGCCUUCUGGACCAGCACUGACACUCAAGCACGAAAGCGUGGGGAGCAAACAGG